rnacentral:lncRNA from 1 species
AUGAAAUUCUCCUUUCAGGCCUCCAAGCUUCCAGAUGUAGCCCAAGAUGGAGGUCAGUGGUGGACUCUACUAUUUGGAGAGACAGGAGUUUGUCAUGUUGCUAAGGCUGGUCUUGAACUCUUGGACUUAAUCAGUGUUUCCACCUCAGCCUCCAAAAGCACUGGGAUUGCAGGUAGGAGCCACCAUGCCUGGCCUGUAAAGAAAACUUCUGGAGAAACAGGAAAAAAAUGCAUUCAUUUAGUGCUUUACUCCUGUAGCCCAAAGUCAAAACUAAAAAAAAAAAAGUGGCAAAAAUUAUUUCACUUUUCUAUAAAUUUUUUUCCCUCUCUCCCUUAGUCUUUUUUUGCAGUUUUUUUCUUUGUUGUUUUGUUUUGGGUUUUUUGGAGUAGGAAACUUCUUGGGAGUUCUAUCACAGGUUUAAAUUUUAGACUAAAG